GCUAGUGUGGCGUAUUGGUUUUAGCAUUGGACUGCAACUCUGGAGAUCAGGGUUUGAUUCCCUGCCUACCA